rnacentral:rRNA from 1 species
AAGGUGGGGAUGACGUCAAGUCCUCAUGGCCUUUAUGCCCAGGGCUACACACGUGCUACAAUGGGUGGUACAAAGAGAGGCAAGCUCGCGAGAGUAAAGCAAAUCUCAAAAAGCCAUCCUCAGUUCGGAUUGGAGUCUGCAACUCGACCCCAUGAAGUCGGAAUCGCUAGUAAUCGCGGAUCAGCAUGCCGCGGUGAAUACGUUCCCGGGCCUU